GCACCCCAGAGGGGAA
rnacentral:rRNA from 1 species